rnacentral:rRNA from 2 species
UACGUAGGUGGCAAGCGUUGUCCGGAAUUAUUGGGCGUAAAGCGCGCGCAGGCGGCUUCUUAAGUCUGAUGUGAAAUCUCGGGGCUCAACCCCGAGCGGCCAUUGGAAACUGGGAAGCUUGAGUGCAGAAGAGGAGAGUGGAAUUCCACGUGUAGCGGUGAAAUGCGUAGAUAUGUGGAGGAACACCAGUGGCGAAGGCGACUCUCUGGUCUGUAACUGACGCUGAGGCGCGAAAGCGUGGGGAGCAAACAGG